ACAUAUUAACCCUCAUUAUGUUAUGCUGCAAUCUGACGUGGCAUCAUCACCAUGGAUAAUAUUUCCCUCUCAAUAGAAACUAGACUCCUUUUUUUCUCUUUUUCUUCUUUGAGAAAACCAAAUCCCUCUUUUAAAAAACUAGCCCGCGCGCCUAAAAAGUGGAAUUCACGGUGCAAUUCAAAAAUCAGAAAAUAUCAACGACCGCUCAAGUCUUUGUUAAACCAACAGUCUUCCGACUUCGAAACUCUUGAUUUUUCAAACCCAUUUGCAAUAUUUUUUCUUGGAUCAUACUCGGCGUGUCUUCUUUCUCGAUAUCUGUGAGAGGUAUGGCUCUUCCGCUGUGUUUUUUCUGCGUUUAAGAAUUUCCUGUGGCGUUUAUGCAUUCGUGAUGAUGAUGAUUUCUCUAUUUUCUGUUUAUGGGUUUCAGUAAUAUAACGAUGCUUUGUUUGUGGGUUUCAUAAAUAUAUCGACAUUUGAUUCUUUAGUUAUCAAUGCAAUUUUUUUGUUUUUAUGUUUUUGAAUUUGUUUGUUGAGUCAUGUACGAUUUGGUCCGGUAAAUAACCGAAUCACAUGAAUUUUAUGUAAAAAUAUUUAAAAGGAGGGGUGGCUGUAAUUACCCAAACAAUAAGUGGUUUUUCGUAAUUUGACCAUACCUAACGGAUCAAUACCCUUUAAAUCAAAAACUUUAAAAAUUAUAGAUUCACCCCAAAAAUUUUGUUUGUCCCAAAAUGAAGUUUCCGAAAUUUUCAAUUCAGUCCCUGAUAGUUUAUGUUUUAAACAAAUAAAAUAUAUACUAAAUGUAUGGCUUCUUUCACGAGUCUCUACUUUGCCACGCUUUAUUCAUAAUACUGGCCAUCACAACUUCUUCUCCGGCAGCCACCACGGCAGAGGAAUUCAAGGUUGGCGGCAGCCUGCCACCAACGACACUGAAAUGUACACCCGGUGGGCCUCAACCAUGAGAUUCCACGUCGGAGAUUCUCUUUGCAAGUAUUGUUCAAUUCAUUUAACUUAUUUUUAGUCUAAUUAAUUGAUCUUCAUUAAUUAAUAUUUUAAUGUAAUAAUUAUUCCCUUUUUGAGAAGUCAGGGAAAAGGGUUUUAGAGGUUUGAAUCCGAUCGUCGAUGCGGCGGCGGAAGCUUGGGAAAGAUGAUAGGUUGUUGAGCGGUGGGUGGGUGGGUUGUUCCUGUGAAGACGAUGAUGACUUUCUUUAUAUUAGUAUCUGUAACUUUUUUAAAUUUCAAUUUGGUCCCUUAGUUUUAAAAAUUACAUAUUUAUGGACUGGGCUUUUCUUUUUUGCAAGAACCUCACCAGGGUAUUUUUGUCUUUUUGCAGCCAGUCAAUGGGAAAAAAAAUAAAUGGGUUGAGUGUGCCAUCUUAACUCUAUAGUAACAGUAGAAAUAGAAGCAUGAAAUAAAAGGUAAUAAUUGAAGUUACAGGCAGAGGCAGAAGAAUUGAUAUUAAAGUAGUAGAAAAUGAAAAUGAAAAUGAAAAUGAAAGUUGAAUAGAAUAAAAGUAAUAACAUCAAUUAAUAAUUGAAGCGAAGGCGUGGAUUGAUGUGGCGGGAAAUGGAUUUCAAACCAUCGCCGUGAACGUAAAAUUGUUUCAGCUGUGUUGAACCACUAAUAUUCAACUCCUCCAAUGACCACAACACCUUUCGCAGGAGGCGUUGCGGCAGCUCCGUCAAUCCAUCGCAGCUACCGAUCUGCAACUUCGUCAGGCAAGGCAU
rnacentral:lncRNA from 1 species